CGUUGGAUUUAGAAACUGAUGACUAAAGGAGCAAUUCGCUUUGGGAGGGACCUGCGUCCCAUCAGCUAGUUGGUGAGGUAACGGCUCACCAAGGCGACGACGGGUAGGGGACCUGAGAGGGUGGCCCCCCACAAUGGAACUGAAACACGGUCCAUACACCUACGGGUGGCAGCAGUAGGGAAUAUUGCUCAAUGGGCGAAAGCCUGAAGCAGCAACGCCGCGUGCGUGAUGAAGGUCUUCGGAUCGUAAAGCGCUUUUCUGGGAGAUGAGAAAGGACAGUAUCCCAGGAAUAAGUCUCGGCUAACUACGUGCCAGCAGCCGCGGUAAAACGUAGGAGGCAAGCGUUAUCCGGAUUCACUGGGCGUAAAGCGCGUGCAGGCGGUGCGGUAAGUUGGGUGUGAAAUCUCCCGGCUCAACUGGGAGAGGUCAUUCAAUACUACCGUACUCGAGAGUAGAAGAGGAAGAUGGAAUUCCCGGUAUAGUGGUGAAAUGCGUAGAUAUCGGGAGGAACGCCAGUGGCGAAGGCGAUCUUCUGGUCUAUUUCUGACGCUCAGACGCGACAGCUAGGGUAGUAAACGGGAUUAGAGACCCCGGUAAUCCUAGCCGUAAACGAUGUG
rnacentral:rRNA from 1 species